rnacentral:lncRNA from 10 species
CUGGAGUUGAAUAUUUCCCUCCUUCCACAUCAGUUAGUCUACAAUAAAACUCCAGCUAAUUAGGCUGGUUAGCUAGUUUCUCCAGAGGAUAGGCUUCCUUAAGAAGAACAGAGUGCUCUGGAGUUUCGAAAUGGCUCCUUUCUCCCUCCCCGACAGAAGCAUGGGGGCAGUUUUUCUUCCAUAUUUACUAUGAAUAUUUGUUUGAGCUCCCAAGGCGAAACUCUCAAAAGCAUGGGCUUCCAGGACUGGGUCCCCCUGGAAUUUUUAACUCUCAGAUUUAUCCACACCUAACCUCUUGCAAUGAAUCAAUUACAGUUUAGCUGUUCCUACUCCAGCACUGGUUCCUGAAGCGAUUUCUGCUCUGACGUGUCUGCUUCCUCUUCGCCUUCUGCCAUGAUUGUAAGUUUCCUGAGGCUUCCCUAGUCAUGCUUCCUGUACAGCCCUCAGAACUGCUCUGAAGAUCUAGCAUCAAAUAUAACAUAGCUCCCGCCUUCUGUGAGUUUCCAGUUGAGAGGAAGAGACAGACCCUUGGGUCAAUGUUUGAUAUUCAGUAAUUUGCAAUACAGCUUAAAGGUGAACAAGCUGGGUAGCAAGGGCCUGCAGAGAAGCAUUGGCUUUGAGGAGACUCACAGCCAGUUAGUGAUAAAAACACAUCCAUAAAAACCUGUGCUUGUCCUAAUGAGAGCUUUUCCACUGCAGGAAGUGCCUUCCAUAUAAAUGAGCCUCAACAAAUACUUCUUGGUGAUUAAAGUUUGGAAGUUUCUAUAAAGUGAUGUCAGGAGAAGACGGCUGGCUUCUAAAUACCCUCUCAAGAUUAUGAUAACCUUGAAAAAUUUAUCCCAAUUAGUUCCUCAGCUUGAUGGGCUCAGAAACUUAGUUUAACUGAACUUAUAAACUUCUGUAUAAAUUGUUAUUCCAAUUAAUUUAUUUAAAGUGAGAAUGAUGCAUUAAUGUUCACAUUGGCCUUAGCAGUACAUUCCUUGGAUGAAGGCUGAUUUAUGUGGGGAGUCAAGUUAUCAUAAGAAGAAAUCGUGGUUUGUAUCACAUUAAAAGUGAAAUCCUUACAUUUAUGGUCAACUGGUUUUCAACAAAGGUGUCAAGUCUAUUUAGUAAAGGAUAGGACAGUAUUUUUAGCCGGGAAAAUUGGAUAUACACAUGCAAAAAAAAUAAUCUUAGCCCCCUACCUCACACCAUAAACAAAAAAGUUAACUCAAAAUGGAUCAUAGACCUAAAUUUAAGGGCUAAAACCAUAAAACUUCUAGAAGAACACAUAGGAGAAUGUCUUUGUGACUUUGGGUUAGGCAACAAUUUCUUAGAUCAAUAAAAGACAUAAUUAUGAAUUUGGCUUUAUCAAAAUUAAAACUUUUUCUCUUCAAAAGAAAGAAAAUGAAAAGACUAAUACCAGAAUGGGAGAAAAUAUUUUCAAAAUACAUAUCUGAUAAGGACUUCUUUCCAGAAUGUAUAAAGAACACUUACCACUCAACAAUAAGAAGACAAACAACCUAAUUAAAAGUGGGCAACAUAUUUGAAUAGAGAUUUCACAAAGAAGAUAUACAAAAUGCUAAUAAGCACAUGAAAGGAUGCUCAAUAUCAUUAUUCAUUAGAAAAAUGCCACUUGAAACCUCAAUGAGAUACCUUUACACACCCACUAGAGUGGCUGUAAUCCAAAAGACUUGCAAUACUAAGUGUUGGUGAGGAUUUGGAAAAACUGAAAUUCUCAUACAUUACUGAUGGGUAUGUAGAGCAGUAUAGUCACUUUGGAGAGCCCCUUGACAAGACCUUAAAAGAUCUAAUGCAUACUUGUGUCUAACUCAGCAAUUCUAUUCCUAACUUUUUACUCAAGAUAAAUCAAAACAUAUGUUCCUGCCAGGACUUGUUCCUGACUGUCCAUGGAAGCUUAUUCACGCAAUCCAAAUGUCCAGAAACUGGUGAAUAGACUGACAAAGUGUAGAUCCAUAAAAAGGAAUGCUGUUCAGCAAAUUUUAAAUGGUAUACUGAUAGUUAUAAUAACAUAGAUAACCUUCAAGUAUAUAAUGCUAAGUGAAAGAAGCUCAACACGACUAUCUAGUUUAUGAUUUCAUUUAUAUAACACUUCCAGAAAAGACAAAUCUAUAGAGACAGAAAACAGAUUUAUGGUUGCCUGGGGCUGAGGGUGGGAGUGGAAAUUGAUUGCAAAUGAGCACGGGGAACUUUGUGGGUGAUAAAAAUGUUCUAAAACUGGAUUGUGCUUAUGAUUAUGCAACUGUAUAAAUUUACUAAAAAUCAUUCAACUGUACACUUACAAUGGGUGACUAUUAUGAUAUGUAAAUUAUGCCUCAAUGAGUCUAUAAAAAAUUCAAGGGUGGGCAAGUAGGCUGCUGAAUAAAAUCUUUGAG